UAGUACUACUCUCGCCCAAGCACGCUUAACGGCGGAGUUCUGAUGGGAUCCGGUGCAUUAGUGUUGGUAUGAUCGCAACUGUGAAGUAUUGCGCGAUCAAUGUAUAUAUGGCGUCAGCAUCGGGAACAAAAUAAAGGGACCAAAAACAACGUAAAAAAGAAAAAAAAUGUGAAAAAAGAGGUGCCACACGAGGACUUCCCAGGAGGUCACCCAUCCUCGUACUACUCUCGCCCAAGCACGCUUAACUGCAAAGUUCUGAUGGGAUCCGGUGCAUUAGUGCUCGUAUGAUCGCACCUGUGAACUAUUGCGCGAUCAAUGUAUAUAUGACUUCCGCAUCGGGAAUAAAUAAAGGGACGAAAAACAACGUAAAAAAGAAAAUAAAUGUGAAAAAAGAGGUGCAACACGAGGACUUCCCAGGAGGUCACCCAUCCUAGUACUACUCUCGCCCAAGCACGCUUAACGGCGGAGUUUUGAUGGGAUCCGGUGCAUUAGUGCUGCUAUGACCGCAACUGUGAAGUAUUGCGCGAUCAAUGUAUAUAUGGCUUCAGCAUCGGGAACAAAAUAAAGGGACGAAAAACAACGUAAAAAAGAAAAAAAAUUUGAAAAAGGAGGUGCAACACGAGGACUUCCCAAGAGGUCACCCAUCCUAGUACUACUCUCGCCCAAGCACGCUUAACUGCAAAGUUCUGAUGGGAUCCGGUGCAUUAGUGCUGGUAUGAUCGCACCUGUGAAGUAUUGCGCGAUCAAUAUAUAUGUGGCUUCCGCAUCGGGAAUAAAUAAUGGGACGAAAAACAACGUAAAAAAGAAAAAAAAAUGUGAAAAAAGAGGUGCAACACGAGGACUUCCCAGGAGGUCACCCAUCCUCGUAUUACUCUCGCCCAAGCACGCUUAACGGCGGAGUUCUGAUGGGAUCCGGUGCAUUAGUGCUGGUAUGAUCGCACCUGUGAAGUAUUGCGCCAUUAAUGUAUAUAUGGCUUCAGCAUCGGGAACAAAAUAAAGGGACGAAAAACAACGUAAAAAAGAAAAAAAAUGUGAAAAAAGAGGUGCAACACGAGGACUUCCCAGGAGGUUACCCAUCCUAGUACUACUCUCACCCAAGCACGCUUAACUGCGGAGUUCUGAUGGGAUNNNNN
rnacentral:lncRNA from 1 species